AGCGUCGGUAAUACGAGGGCCCCAAGCGUUAUCCCGGUGUUACUGGGCGUAAAGAGUCGUGUAGNCGGCUCUGUAAGUUAUCUUUUAAAGCUUCCGGCUCAACCGGAAAAAUGGAGAUAAUACUGCAGAACUUGAGUCUUCUAUUAGGGUAAUCGGAACUGAGGGAGGAGUAGUGAAAUGCGUUGAUCCCCUUGGGAACACCAAUGGCGAAGGCAGAUUACUGGAAGAAGACUGACGCUGAGACACGAAAGCUAGGGUAGCGAAGCAGAUUAGAGACCUGCGUAGCCCUAGCCGUAAACGCAUGCUAGCUAGCUGCAUUUUCCUCCGGAUUCGUCCGGAAUAGGUGUGGCGAAGGUAACCCGUUAAGCUAGCCGCCUGGGGAGUACGACCGCAAGGUUAAAACUCAAAGGAAUUGGCGGGGAGGCACACAACCAGUGGAACAUGUGGUUUAAUUCGAAACAAACCGAAGAACCUCACCAGGGUUUGACAUGUACCUGCAAGCUCUAUGAAAGUAGAGUUCCUUCGAGGGUGGUACACAGGUGCUGCAUGGCUGUCGUCAGUUCGUUCCGUGAGGGGUGCCCUUAAGUGGGACAACGAACGCAACCCCUAUCCUAUGUUACACGUAUCAUAGGAAACUGCCCCGCCGUCGGCGGGGAGGAAGGAGGGGCAGACGUCAAGUCAGCAUGGUCCUUAUACCCUGGGCUACACACAUGUUACAAUGAGUAGUAACAACGAGCAUAGCGAACUCGCAAGGGUAAGCAAAUCUCUGAAAUCUACUCUCAGUGGGGAUUGAGGUCUGCAACUCGACCUCAUGAACGGGGAAUUGGUAGUAAUCGCGGAUCAGCUAAGCCGCGGUGAUACGUUCUUGCCUCUUGCACACACCGCCCGUCAAGCCAACAAAGUCGGG
rnacentral:rRNA from 1 species